GACGAACGCUGGCGGCGUGCCUAAUACAUGCAAGUAGAACGCUGAAGAGAGGAGCUUACUCUUCUUGGAUGAGUUGCGAACGGGUGAGUAACGCGUAGGUAACCUGCCUUGUAGCGGGGGAUAACUAUUGGAAACGAUAGCUAAUACCGCAUAACAAUGGAUGACACAUGUCAUUUAUUUGAAAGGGGCAAUUGCUCCACUACAAGAUGGACCUGCGUUGUAUUAGCUAGUAGGCGAGGUAAUGGCUCACCUAGGCGACGAUACAUAGCCGACCUGAGAGGGUGAUCGGCCACACUGGGACUGAGACACGGCCCAGACUCCUACGGGAGGCAGCAGUAGGGAAUCUUCGGCAAUGGGGGCAACCCUGACCGAGCAACGCCGCGUGAGUGAAGAAGGUUUUCGGAUCGUAAAGCUCUGUUGUAAGUCAAGAACGGGUGUGAGAGUGGAAAGUUCACACUGUGACGGUAGCUUACCAGAAAGGGACGGCUAACUACGUG
rnacentral:rRNA from 1 species